GAUGAACGCUGGCGGCGUGCCUAAUACAUGCAAGUCGAGCGAACGGACGAGAAGCUUGCUUCUCUGAUGUUAGCGGCGGACGGGUGAGUAACACGUGGAUAACCUACCUAUAAGACUGGGAUAACUUCGGGAAACCGGAGCUAAUACCGGAUGAUAUUUUGAACCGCAUGGUUCAAUAGUGAAAGACGGUCUUGCUGUCACUUAUAGAUGGAUCCGCGCUGCAUUAGCUAGUUGGUAAGGUAACGGCUUACCAAGGCAACGAUGCAUAGCCGACCUGAGAGGGUGAUCCGGCCACCCGGAAAUGAAAAAAGGGCCAGACUCCCAAGGGAGGGAGGCGUAGGGAAUCCUUCGGCAAGGGGGGAAGGCUGAAGGAGGAAAGGCGGGUGGGUGAAGAAGGGCUUCGGAUCGGAAAACCCUGUUAAUAGGGAAGAAAAUAUGUGUAAGUAAAUGAGCCACUCUUGAAGGUAACUAAUCAGAAAGGCAACGGUAAAUACGUG
rnacentral:rRNA from 1 species